rfam:Lonchura striata domestica isolate white83orange57 scaffold_5, whole genome shotgun sequence.
GUAUAUUUCACUUUGAUAGUACAUACACAAAAGUUAGAAUAAUACAGAGAUCAGCAUGGAUUCUUAGCAAGGAUGACAUGCAGAUUCAUGAAGAGUAACUAAAUUUU